GAUCUGGUGUUGCUGUAGCUGUGGUGUAGGCCUGUAGCUGCAGCACUGAUUCAACCCCUAGCCUGGGAACUUCCAUAUGCCACAGGUGUGGCCCUAAAAGGCAAGAAAAUAAAUAGGUAAAUAAAUAAUGACCUCCCUGGACUUUUAUGUAAAGUGAAGACAUCAGUCUAAAGGAUCAAUACAAGUAAUUAGUGAGCUUACAUAAGUACUUGAUAGCCAAUUGCAGAUGUUGAAAAAGGCCAUUAUAAAUGACGGCCCCUGCAAGGUCAAUCGGGCAAAGAGUCCAUAAUUGUCCUCUCUAGAAGAAUAAAAAUGUAAAAACAAGUAACAGAGUAAGAUUUAGGAGAUAUGAGACUUCCAUCUGGUUCUGCUACAGACCAGCAGAUAAUAUAAUUUCUUUGUGGCUUUAAGACUCUAAGGGUUACACGAAUCAGAAAGGAUGGAAAUAAAGUAAGCUCAAUUCUAAAAUGUAAACAUCAACUUUAUCUUAUCAUGAGGUAGAAGGAUGAUCUGAAGUGAAAGGAAUAAGUUUAGCAAAUGAUCCUCUCAUAGGUACAUCUUCAUUAUUUAAAAAUACCUACUAUGGGGAAGCCUUCCAAAUUAUGGCCAGAAUAUUAUUUAUUUUCUGCACUCUCCCAGAAGCAGGGAACAGAAUUGCACUUUUUAAGAUAAGAUGUAAUUCUUACAAUAUAUUGUCCUCAAGAAGUCUGAUUCUCUUGUGUUUGUCUUGAAUCAGAUUAAAUACUUAUUAAAAUCAGAGGUUCAAAUUUUGUGAAGAUCACUUGGGCAUAUGGUUUUAAGUUAAAUAAAAAAUGAGAUCCAUAAUUGUAUUUUCUUAUUAGUUAUUUUAAAUAAAAUGUCUUAAUUUCUGAAAAUUUUCCAUUUCUUGAUUUCUAAAAUCCAGUUUUUCUAUAUUUAUUUUGUUCUAAACUGAGAGAAUUAAAUCACUACGAUGCACCAUUCACAUAUUAAAAAUACCACAUAGGAAGAAAAGCCAUUUCCUUGGGCUUCCUCUGUAGUAUCGACCUGCAUUUGCCUCCUCCAUCUUCCUGACACUGAAGUUUCCUUCAUUCCACUUAGGCACUAAAUACAAUCAUCCAAGUGCCUCAACAUAAAUCGCCAAGUCAUAGGUGAGCAUAAUUUCCUUCUUUCCCUGGGACACAUUCUCUCCUAAACAUCUAAAUUUUAAACCCCAUAGGUAGCAGUUCGAUGGGAGAUUUGACAAUGGGUCAGUUCCUUAAGCAAAGUUUCCUUUGCUGAUGCAGCAGGAGGGCUGGGUGCCUGAAGCAGGUUCUCCUCUUCACUAAGGCUGGGACCCUUAGUGAAGGAAAAGACUAGAUCUUAUGAUUCAUGAAUGUGAAAUUGGAGUCCUCCGUUUUAUUAUUUAUCUGGAGAGAGGUAGAUGCUUAAAAUGAGAGCAGGCAGUAAAUACCUCAUUCAUUUCACAGCACCAAGUAGUUAGAUAUGAACCAGGGAUACAGCUGAACAGGGGAUACAGCUGAAGUUAUUUUUUAGAAUUCUUCAAUAGCUUAUCUCACUUCUCUUUUUAUGACUUGAAGUUAUUAUGAAAGGAGAAAAUUAUUUUCAGAGUACCUACUUUGUGCUGGAGAUGCUUUAUGUAUUUUGGUCUUACAGAAAAACUUAAAAGUAUUAUCCACAUUUUAAGGUGGAAGACAGAAAGAAAAAAGAAUAUUUUAUUUUUGCAUGAAUAUCUAGAAAGGAAGUCAUCACCAGGAUCUAAACUAAGUAGGAAUAUAGAAAAUAGACUAAAAGCAGAAGUGAAGGGCCAAGAUUCCAAAAGUCCCAUGCAAAAAGCUUUGUCCUGAGUUUGUGGGAGCACUGCAAUGAGCUCUGAUUGGAUGAAAUUCUGGAACUUCUAGCAAAAUAUGCAGUAAAUGAACUGAGUCAUACGAUCAUGUCAAGAGACACGUCCUAAGAUAUCUGAGCUGCUAUCAUCAACCUUAUACAAUGGAGAUCCAUGAAGCAAAGAGGCAACAUUUACAUACAUUUAUAAAUAUAUGCGUAAAUCCAUACAUUUAGUGCACAUUUAAAGAUGAGUUAAAUAUUCAGGAAAUCCAUUCUGUGAAAUAAUUCAUACAUCAUUAAAUGCUUCCCACACAUAAGCAGUGGCCUACAAGAGGAAUUCCCAGACAUCAAGACAAUGAACAGGCCCCUUCUUAUUCUAUGAAGUACAAUAUUUCCAAAAGUGUGCUAGAUUAUAUCAGAAGGUAUGUGGCCAGUUGGGUAUUUUGGUUUUGUUUUCAAUUUAAUAGGUAUAUUCAGAGCCACCACAUGCAGCUGUGCAAGGUGUGUGUCGUCCAAAGGCAACUGCCUAAAGGGGUAAGCGGAGACUGAGAUACAGUCUUAGUUUUGCUCACCAAGCCCUGUGUCUUCAAUCAGAGCUAAGCCAGGCCAAGAUCCUUGGGCUGGGGAGGAUAGUUAUUAUAGAGAUCCCUAUGUACUAGCUAAAUUAGGAUGCCAUGUUAGACAAGAAUUUUCAUUUACAGUAGAAAAGCAUAACCAGCACAUCAGAUAGUGAUACAAAUUUUCUUUUCAAAAUAUUAAAUUAUGUAUAAUUACCAAAAAAAAAAACCCUCAUACAGGUAGUAAUAAGGCAAACCAAACCAGAUAUUGUGUAAGUAAUUAAAAUUUGGAAUCACUGGUAUUGUGGGAAAACCAUGACCUUUGGAAUAAGACAAAUAUGAGUUCAAUCCAGGUUGUAAUUGUACUUUAGCCAAGUCACUUAAUCAUUUAGCUUCAGUUUUCUCUCACUCUGUGUACGAAUGUUCUUGCCAAAGGAUUGCAGUGAGAAUGAGAGGAGAUGAUGUCUAUAAAAUUGUCAAUAGAUGUCAGGUUCUAUCCACCACCUUUCCUUAUGCAAUGCAAGUCUAAAUCCUCAAUCAUCCAAGCUAGCCUUCUAGCUUGUGUAAACUCAAAAUCCCAGGUACUUGGUAUUAUUUUCAAAAGGAUGCUCCAUUAGUUCCAGGCACUCAGUCCUCUUAGCUAUUUCUGCUCCAGUGUCCUGUGAUUCUCAUCUUUCCUAUAGCACACCCAGCUCACUGACCAAUUACCCCCGCAGUGACUGUCCCAGGGGCAUGUGUGUGUGUACGCAUGCAUGCGCACACACACAGAUUCAGGCUCACGCAUAAUUCAUACAUUUAUGCUUGCAUGUGCAAACCCACACAUAAUUACACACUUGUGCCCACGCACACUCACAUACAUACACAUACAAAAACAAACCACUGUAGUCCCAUAGACCAACUCACCAUUUCUUAGUUCCCUUCUAAAUUAUUUUGUUCACUUUGAACCUUUGCCCACAAUUCCCUUCUUAAAUAUUCUCUGUCCUUUAAGGCUUAGUUGAAAUAUCUACUCCUUAUUAAGCCUUUCAUGGUAACUCAACUAGAUGUGACCUUAACUCCAAAAGCAUAGGUUAUUUUUAUCUUUUCUGAGGUUAGAGCCAUGUGUAAUUUCUCACAUUGACUGCAUAUCAUGUUGUACAGUCUAUCAUGUUGUACAGUCUCUGAAGGCUAUAAUCAGAUCUAUUUAUAUUUUACCCUUCACAGUGAUGGCCUUCAUUGUCUUGAAGAGCUGUAAUCUUAAUUUUCAUGAACUAGUUACACCAUUUCAGGUUCCCAGGAACCAAGGCAUAUUUAGAAUACAAAUGACUUUGGAUGGAUAUUUUAAUGAUAUACAGCUUAUUUUAUCUGAAUAUACUAUUUUCAACCUAGGCAAGAUAUAGGAUCUAACUGGUCUGGUUCUGUUGAUCGUUGUCUAGUAUAAGAUUUACAUUUGUAAUUCAACUAACCAUAGGUUAUGAAUGUGGGUUACAAACUCAGCACUUCUCAGAAGUGGCCUAUGGGCCUGGUGGGCUUUUCUGAGUAUUAUAGACUUCUUUCCAAUACGUUGAUUUGGCUUCCUGAAACCAUGCCCCAUUCUGCAAUUUGGGAUCAUUCAACUUUCAGGCAUAAACUCAGGUGACUUGCAUAUUUUAAUAAAGGAUAACAAGAUAAAAAUGUCCAUAAAAUACCCAUAUGAGUAUUACUACAAAGAAGAUAUUGCACAUGCCUUUGAUUUCAUCUCAUGGAGUUAUAAAAAUUGUGUGCUAUCUGCAGAUAGGCUGGCUCCAAAAAAGAGCAGAGGUAUGACUGAGCUGAGCAUGCUCAGACCCUUUUCCAAACUUACCAAUCAAAAAAGUCAUUAGUCAUGGAGGUGGCAGGGCUAAGUGAGAAGAGACAUGUGAGAUACAUUUCUACCACCCUUUUCUCCCUGAGGAGGAAUGAGAUGUAGUUUUUUUUUUUAUCUCUGAAAAUCUGAAGAGUGGUAAAUGAGUACUCUUUUCUCCUCUAUUAAUUGAGCCUAGGCAAUAAGUCCCAGGGAUAUAAUAAUCCCAAGAGGGGAGGGGGUCAGAAGUCAAUCAGAAUGGUCUUCCCACUUUCAGUGAAUUUUUGCCCCCAAAAUUAACUUUAGGUAUUUUCCUCAGACGCUCAGAGAGUUUAAUCUUCGGUAUCUAGAAGGCUCUGAAAUGAUUUCUAUCAUAUGCCACUAGCCCCAGAAUUCAUACUAUAUCUUAUUUCCCAUCUCAAAUUAUAGCCCCUAAAAAACUGGUGUAUUAAGAUUUUUUUUCUUAUUUAUUUUGGCCCAUGGGAAGGAAUAAUUUACUCGUUUGCACAGGAGAAAUACUAUUUUCCAUUUACAUUGAAGAAGAAAAUAAGUACCUUGGAGCUUAAGAGAAGUUAUACUUACUUGGGAUCAUUAAUCUAAUUGAACACAAGUGCCUUAUUAAUUUCCUUUAGCUGCUUUGUUUAUGGCUUAAAUCUAAUAAAAGUCAAAAGCUUCCUUGACAUUAAGACAU
rnacentral:lncRNA from 1 species